GCAAUGCCGCGUGUGGGAUGAAGCAUCUAGGUGUGUAAACCACUGUCAGGGUUUAGGAAACAAAUGACCAGACCCAAAGGAAGAGCCGGCUAACUCUGUGCCAGCAGCCGCGGUAAUACAGAGGGCUCAAGCGUUAAUCGGAAUCACUGGGCUUAAAGGGUCCGCAGGCGGACUGGAAAGUAUCUUGUGAAAUACCAUCGCUCAACGAUGGAAUUGCUCGGUAAACUUCCAGUCUUGAACACGGUAGGGGCCAUCGGAACUCUAGGUGGAGCGGUGAAAUGCGUAGAU
rnacentral:rRNA from 1 species